AGAAAGCGUGCGCACACACUCCCGAGGAAGCAGCCUGCACGGAGGAAUUACUGAUUGCAACAGGAAUGGAAUUUCUCCUUUGCUGCCUUGUUCGGAUUGUCAGACCUCCCACUCUCUGGAUGUCAGAAACUGCAAGUUGAGCUCAUUCUGGACCUCUCAGCCUUCUAGACCCAUGCAACUGUAGUGAGGUUCAGUCAUUCUUCACAGGCGAGCCUCACUCUGAAGGUCUCAAGCCACACACUGCUAGCUGAUUGCUCUGAAUCUUUAAAUGGCUAAUCCCAUUUCCUGUGGCAAUCCAGAAAAUCUAGACACUCAUGCUCGGGAGCUGAUGGUGUACCAGAAGGACACUGGAAGAUUUGAGCAAUUUGGAUCUCUCCCUAAUGAUUCAGUUGGUGUCAAGAGGUUCUGAGAAUAUCAGCAAUGGAAUGAGAAAGUGGAAGAUGAGCUGGCAAAUCUGGUGGCAUAAAAAUAGCUGUCUUGUACAAGUUCUGGGAAGUCUGGAAGAAAAAAUGCCCAGUGCUAUUAUUCUAAGGCAUGGACCUGUCAACUUAGAGAUUUCAAGAUGUUCCUCUCCAGAUAUCAAUAAGGUCCCUCUGAGUCAGGUAUGAAGAAUAAAGAGCUGGUGAAAAACUCUGAACAAGUCCAUUUUACAAGUUCUUUUACAAAUGACAGUACUUGAACUCUUCACAUUAUGUUAAACUUUUAUUUCUUUUGAGACACUUCUAUUUCUGAAGGCAAUAAACAAGAUUUCUAACUGUAUCUUUGAAUUUGUGCAGUGGUACAAGACCUUCCCUUCCACCAAAACAUUUUUUUGCCCUGAAGAUACACACAAUUGUUGUAGUAAUGUAAAAGAAAGCAGACAAAUUGCACUCAUAAAAAAGACAAAGUAUUUCAGUUUUACUGAGUUGUAGUUUUGCUGGGCUUGUUCUGUGCCUUUGCCUGGGAAUAUUCUGACAAAAUCCUCAUUAUUUGGCUACAUCUGAUGAAGAAGAAAGGGGAUUGCAAGGGAGAAAAAAGGAGCUAAGGGGCAUAAGGAUUCAGAAAUAUUAUUUCAACAAAAUCUUAAAUCUGUUUUGUUCCAUUGUUUCUGAGAAGAAAAACCCACUGCUGUCUCAGAAAGAAUGUCUUACACAGUUUGUAUAACCAAUCUGGCAGCAGAUGAGGGAGAAAAAUGAAUCUGUAUUUCUUGCUGGCUGGGCAUGUUCCCUGCCUGCUGGGUUACAGAGAUGGCUUAAACAAUCCUUCUCUCCUAGCAAUAUGGGAAACAGAGAGGGUUUUUUCUUUGGCUUCUUUUUGUACAGUACAGUGCAGAACAACUAAUAAGAUGGCCAGGAUGUACAAAUUUGCUUCCUCCUGAGAAAAACUAAUAAAACAGUGGUUCAGCACUCACUUGAAAAGUGGAGCACAGAUUCAUUUGCUACUUACACAAGCAGUGGAGAUGCCAUAAACACCAGGCUGUUUAAAAUUACCUGUUGUCACACUCUCUACCUUUUCAGAAGACCUGUGAAAUAUGUUGAGAUUUUUUCUCCCAUAACACAGGACGGGAGCAUCUCUGACAUCUUAAACGUGCAUGUGGAAUGGGAAGUCCAGCUGUGCUCAGAACAGCUGUGCGCAUUCAUUAACCCAAGACAAGAAAAGUUGUAUUUUUGUUGGACUCAAAGACAGAUCUUUAAAAACUCUGACACCUAAUACUGCUGGCCAACAUGAAAAUCACUGUUCAGCUGUUUGACUGCUCCUGAAAAAGUCAAAGACUUCUUGUGUGCUUUUAUGACCACUUACUUUGAUAUCAAACAAAGUGUUUCUAGUCCUUUUCAUGCUUCGCUAAUAUACAGCAAAAGGUCUGAAUUUGUCUUAUUCUCUUGCUCAAUAUUAUCAAGUGUGAAUUCUCUUGCCCUUAUGCUAAGCUUUUCCU